UACAAAAAUGCGCAGGUAAAUAUUAAAUACCGUGUUUCAAUAAGAAAACAAGAAAUAUAAGUCAUUGUUAAAUGACUAGAUCUACUUGUGACUCGAAUUUGGCAUUAAAUUGCAAGCGUUUGCUACAUGUGAUUUACAUGGCUGACACACUGAUGGCCCCCUACCAGUGCCACUGUGUCCAAGGAAUGUGUAACAUAGCUCGAGGGAAUGCUUCUCGAGAGGUUUGGUCCAGUGUACUAAUUCGUGCGCGUUACUGUUUGCACCAACAAAAAGACUGACC